GAAUAAUUCAGGGACUGACCAGAGAAUAUUGCUCAUUUUUGGAAGGUUUGGCUGUUCUGAAGAGUGCCUGGAUGACAGACCUGCUUUGAAGCUUGUCAACCCCUCUGCAGAGCACCUCUCCUGUCAGGAGCUGCUGUCCUGGAGAACAAUGGCUGGGAGCAGGGUGAGGGGCUGUGCUGUGCCCGCAGCCUUUGAUCACACCUGGUGCGGCUCCAAGCGGGGCCUGCUCGUGGGCACUGCUGGGUUUUAGCAUUUCUGAUCAUAUCACACUGCAGUACAGGAACUGUGCUUUGCCUGCUACCCCGGGUCACAAUUUAUGAGCAAAUGCCAGUUCCAACAGGCAUGGUUCAAGGAGGAUCACU
rnacentral:lncRNA from 1 species